UAUAAAGUAGUCAGUUUCCGAGUCCAACUUUGAUCGACCGUCUUAUUUGAUUUUUUUAAUUAUUAGUAUUUUUGUUGUUAUUAUAUUAUAAAACAUGAAUAAUAGUUUAUGCAUGAUUUAUUUUUUUAUUUUUUUUAAAAAAAUAAAUAAAAUGGAUAAUUAUAGUUAGACACAGAAACUUAUAGAUGCGCUUAUU
rnacentral:pre_miRNA from 1 species